rnacentral:tRNA from 1 species
AUUUAAAUAGCUUAUAUUAUAAAGUAUAAUAUUGAAGAUAUUAAGAAAAUUAAAUUAAAUUUUUAAAUA